AGUGGCGCACGGGUGCGUAACGCGUAUACACCUACCUUAUACAGGGGUAUAGCCCAGGGAAACUUGGAUUAACACCCCAUAGUUUGGCAUCAUUAAAACUACGGUGGUAUAAGAUGGGUAUGCGUCCCAUUAGCUUGUUGGUGUGGUAACGGCACACCAAGGCAACGAUGGGUAGGGGCCCUGAGAGGGGGAUCCCCCACACUGGUACUGAGACACGGACCAGACUCCUACGGGAGGCAGCAGUGAGGAAUAUUGGACAAUGGGCGGGAGCCUGAUCCAGCCAUGCCGCGUGCAGGAAGACUGCCUAUGGGUUGUAAACUGCUUUUAUACGGGAAGAAACCCACCUACGUGUAGGUGGCUGACGGUACCGUAAGAAUAAGGACCGGCUAACUCCGUGCCAGCAGCCGCGGUAAUACGGAGGGUCCGAGCGUUAUCCGGAAUCAUUGGGUUUAAAGGGUCCGCAGGCGGCCAGAUAAGUCAGUGGUGAAAUUCCGUGGCUCAACCACGGAACUGCCAUUGAUACUGUUUGGCUUGAAUCAGUUCGAGAUGCCCGGAAUGUGUGGUGUAGCGGUGAAAUGCAUAGAUAUCACACAGAACACCAAUUGCGGACGCAAGGUGUCAGACUGUAUGACGCUGGAUGACGAAAGCGUGGUAGGCAAACAGGAUUAGAAAUCCUUG
rnacentral:rRNA from 1 species